rnacentral:misc_RNA from 1 species
GAUGAAGAACGCAGCGAAAUGCGAUAAGUAAUGUGAAUUGCAGAAUUCAGUGAAUCAUCGAAUCUUUGAACGCACCUUGCGCCCUUUGGCCAUUCCGAAGGGCAUGCCUGUUUGAGUAUCAUGAACACCUCAACUCUUCAUGGUUUUCCAUGAUGAGCUUGGACUUUGGGGGUCUUGCUGGCCUGUGGGUCGGCUCCUCUCAAAUGAAUCAGCUUGCCGGUUUUUGGUGGACAUCACAGGUGUGAUAACUAUCUACGCUUGUGGUUUUCCACCAGGGUAACCUUCAGCAGUGGAGGUUCACUGGAGCUUACAAAUGUCUCUCCUCUGUGAGGACAGCCCUUUGAAUGUUUGAUCUCAAAUCAGGUAGGACUACCCGCUGAACUUAAGCAUAUCAAUAAGCGGAGGA